GGGCCGAAGAAGCCCUGGAGGGGGAGAGGGGAGCCGCUCUCGACUGGGCCUGCGGCGUGGGAGGGACAGUGAGGACACUUAGGGACUGUGUGGGGCAGUGAAGGACAGUGUGGGAUGAGGAGGGACGGUGUGGGCCGGUGAGGGACUGCGUGGGACAGUGCGGGACAAUGAGAGACGGUGUGGGACAGUGAGGGACAGUGUGGGACAGUGAGGGACAGUGUGGGACGGUGUGUAGGACAGUGUGGGACGGUGAGGGACUGUGUGGGGCAGUGAGGGACUCUGGGACUGUGAGGGACUCGGACAGUGAAGGAUGGCAAGGGAUAGUGUGGGACAGUAUGGGACAGUGGACUGAGGUACAGUGAGGGGCGGUGAGGAACAGUGAGGGACUGUGUGGGACAAUGAAGGAUGGCAAGGGACAGUGUGGGACAGUGGACGGUGAGGUACUGUGAGGGUCGGUGAGGGACAGUGUGGGACUGUGAGGGAUGGCGAGGGACAGAGUAGAACAGCAAGGGAGGAUGAGGGGACAGAGUGGGCCGGCGUGGGGCGGUGAGGCCACGCGGGGGAAGCCCAGGGAUCCUCUGACUGCGUUGGAAAAUGGAGGAAAGGUCCCGCUGGAGGUUGAGCCCUUCAGGGUCGCUGUGGGUUUCCAGGAGGAGCUCCCCCACUACUGACUUAGGGGGCCCUCGGCUUCCCAGUGUCAGAAGAAGCUGUCUUUGGAGUGAGAACAAGGGUGAGGUUCUGGCUCAGAAACCUUAGAAUCACGGACACUGUUUUCCUGAAAACAUUGCUUCUUUCUCUCCUCUCAAAGAAAUGCCACAAGUCGUAUGUUUCCCCACUGCGAGCCCUUCGAGAACAAUGUCAUGUUGAUCGAUGGCAGUGACUCACGCCAGACCUUUCCAUGCCUCCUCUGCAAGGACUCAAGAGAGUCGAGGGCAAAACCGUGCCAUAGUUCCAUGAAGGAGGGCAAAGAGCUUUAUCCAUGCUGAGGAACAGGCAGAUCAUGUGGCUACAGCACUGGUCUUUACCUUUUAACUGCUUGAUUCGAAACAUUCCAGCCAGGAACAGUGGCUCACACCUGUAAUCCCAGCACUUUGGGAGGCCAAGGCGGGUGGAUCGCUUGAGCUCAGGAGUUCGAAACCAGCCUGGGCAACCUGGCAAAACCCCAUCUCUACAAAAAAAUACAAAAAUUAGCCAGGCCUGGUGUGUGUGCCUGUAGUUCCAGCUACUCGGCAGGCUGCGGCCGGAGGAUCACUUGAGCCCAGGAAGUGGAGGUUGCAGUGAGCUGAGAUCGUGCUGCUGCACUCCAGCCUGGGUGACAGAGCCAGACAUUGUCUCUAUAAAAAAAAAAAAAAGAAAAGAAAAGAAAAAAGAGAAAUGGUCCAAGACUAUGGAGAAAGCCUUCUUUGGGGUCAGUGUGAACCAUUCUUUCGUUCGUUCAGCAAAUGCUUACUGAGGAGCUACCGUGUCCCUGAAAUUGCCUCCACCUCCAAGAAGACAGUGGUGAGCAAGUCAGACAAUACCUCUAAUCUCAUGGAAUUUAUAAGUAAAUGGGCCAUUACAAUUACCAGAUCAGAAGUGCUGUGAUGAGCAAAUAGAGGCUCAUGGGAAACUCCUAAGAAGGGCUUCUGAGCUGGACUUGGGGGUCAGGAAAGGCAGAAUGUGGGGGCUGACUCAUCCCGACCGGGGCGGGACUAGCGGGGGUGCCUCCCACUUACUGUCUGUCUCCUUCUAGACUGACUUCUCUGUCAUCAUGAAUACACCCCUUUAAGACAUACAUUUAAGAGAAAAUAAUAGGAUGCCUUAUUUAUUUAAAUGUUUGUUACAUUUUUACUAACAACCACAUACCCACAGGAAAGUCGCAAGUAGAACUCAAAAACUUUUUUCUCUGGGGCAGUGAAGAGUCAGUUGCCAGCCAGAAGGCCCAUAGAGCGUGAGCACUUCAGGGUGUGCUUCCUACAGAUAAGGACAUCCUGCUGCAUAACAGGAAAGGGGUCCUGAUCCAGACCCCAAGAGAGGGUUAUUGGAUCUCGCACAAGAAAGAAUUCAGGGUGA
rnacentral:lncRNA from 1 species